rnacentral:rRNA from 1 species
GACGAACGCUGGCGGCGUGCUUAACACAUGCAAGUCGAGCGGUAAGGCCCUUUCGGGGGUACACGAGCGGCGAACGGGUGAGUAACACGUGGGUGACCUGCCCUCAGCUCUGGGAUAAGCCUGGGAAACCGGGUCUAAUACUGGAUAUGACUCCAUGACGCAUGUUGUGGGGUGGAAAGCCUUGUGCGGCUGAGGAUGGGCCCGCGGCCUAUCAGCUUGUUGGUGGGGUGAUGGCCUACCAAGGCGACGACGGGUAGCCGGCCUGAGAGGGCGACCGGGCCACACUGGGACUGAGACACGGCCCAGACUCCUACGGGAGGCAGCAGUGGGGAAUCUUGCGCAAUGGGCGAAAGCCUGACGCAGCGACGCCGCGUGAGGGAUGAC